GGAGAAGAAACGCCGCGAAGGACGCAGCCCGGCGCGGCGAACGCGGACGCCAGGGGAGAGACGCGCCGCCCGUUCUGGUGGAGCGUUUUCUCCCCGAGAAGCCGUGGUACGCGGCGCCGCGUGAUGACGUCACCCCCGGGAAACUCCGCGAAACCCGGAAGCGACAACGUCGGCGGGUGAGUGGGCGGAGCGAGGACGUUGGCGUCGGCAGCAGCGAGGAAGUGACGUGGGCAGCGAGCGCAGAAGAUGCGACCCCCACGAUCUUCGCCAUGUCGAGCCAAGAACUCUGCGCUCUGCUGGCAAGGCUCCCUGUGGACUGGGACGACACGGACGACGACGAGAGCACGGGAGACGAGAGUUGGGCUCCGCCCAUCGCGCCAGUCUGCGAUCGUCGCAAGGUCUGUGGGGACCCACGUCACUUCCAGGGGGGUGAGAAGCGGCAACAACAACGGCGGCGUUCCUCCAGCGAGGAGGUGGGCAGCCUCCAGCCCGAAUGGCCAGAGUACUGCCCAUGGGAGCUUAUCGCGCCAUGGGUCCAGGAUGUCCGCAGGGUGGACGACCCGUGGAGUCACCGGUGGGAGGACACGGAUGACGAAAGCGAUGAUGACGUGGAUUUUCGGUGGGCGGUCGGUGCCGGGAUGGCUCCGCCCAGCGUGCGCGUCCGAGAUCAUCGCGGCGUCCGUGAUGACCCAUGUGACUUCCGGGGGUACGAGGUGGACACGGACGACGACCAGGAUGACGCCGUUUGGGCAGUCGGUGCCGGGAUGGCUCCGCCCAUCGCGCCCAUCCAGGAUCGUCACGAGGUCCGUGGAGACCCACGUCCCCCCCAGCAGUGUGAGGAAAGCUGGUGGAAGAGGGCGACGGGAUGUCGCCAGCCAGCAACUGCGCUGCCGGGACCGCCUCGCAGGGAAUCCUCCAUUCCUGCUCCAGUCGCCGACCCGCCUUCCCUCUGCCCGGACGUUCCCCAGCGAAAUGGCAGCGCAGCACCAGCGCCCACACCUGCUGGAGAAGACGUCCACCCCCCUCCACACCACACACCUACCACCAUCUCCAGCGACGUGCCCAGCCCCAUGUGGGACAGCCCAAUUGUCCCGGGACCCUUCAGUGGGGCAGCAGACACUGAUAAGACCACCACCAUCCUCUCGUGUCUGCUUGGGUCAGCAUGGGGCUGGAGCGCAGCCCUCUGGCAGCAGGGAGAGACAGACAGCAGUUUUCGGGACUUCCAGCAGAGACUGAGGGCGGAGUUUGAUCGGCCAGAGCCUGAGCCAGGGAUCGAACUCUGCCCCUCCACCACGUCCAGCGCCAGUCAGGAUUCGGGGCAAGAAGACCAAGCACUGGCGGGCGA
rnacentral:lncRNA from 1 species